UUAGUGGCGCACGGGUGCGUAACGCGUGGGAAUCUGCCCCUUGGUUCGGAAUAACAGUUGGAAACGACUGCUAAUACCGGAUGAUGACGUAAGUCCAAAGAUUUAUCGCCGAGGGAUGAGCCUGCGUAGGAUUAGGUAGUUGGUGUGGUAAAGGCGCACCAAGCCGACGAUCCUUAGCUGGUCUGAGAGGAUGAUCAGCCACACUGGGACUGAGACACGGCCCAGACUCCUACGGGAGGCAGCAGUGGGGAAUAUUGGACAAUGGGCGAAAGCCUGAUCCAGCAAUGCCGCGUGAGUGAUGAAGGCCUUAGGGUUGUAAAGCUCUUUUACCCGGGAUGAUAAUGACAGUACCGGGAGAAUAAGCUCCGGCUAACUCCGUGCCAGCAGCCGCGGUAAUACGGAGGGAGCUAGCGUUAUUCGGAAUUACUGGGCGUAAAGCGCACGUAGGCGGCUUUGUAAGUAAGAGGUGAAAGCCCAGAGCUCAACUCUGGAAUUGCCUUUUAGACUGCAUCACUUGAAUCAUGGAGAGGUCAGUGGAAUUCCGAGUGUAGAGGUGAAAUUCGUAGAUAUUCGGAAGAACACCAGUGGCGAAGGC
rnacentral:rRNA from 1 species